GAGACUGGGAUUACACCUGGAAACAGAUGCUAAUACCGGAUAACAACACUAGACGCAUGUCUAGAGUUUAAAAGAUGGUUCUGCUAUCACUCUUGGAUGGACCUGCGGUGCAUUAGCUAGUUGGUAAGGUAACGGCUUACCAAGGCAAUGAUGCAUAGCCGAGUUGAGAGACUGAUCGGCCACAUUGGGACUGAGACACGGCCCAAACUCCUACGGGAGGCAGCAGUAGGGAAUCUUCCACAACGGACGCAAGUCUGAUGGAGCAACGCCGCGUGAGUGAAGAAGGGUUUCGGCUCGUAAAGCUCUGUUGGUAGUGAAGAAAGAUAGAGGUAGUAACUGGCCUUUAUUUGACGGUAAUUACCUAGAAAGUCACGGCUAACUACGUGCCAGCAGCCGCGGUAAUACGUAGGUGGCAAGCGUUGUCCGGAUUUAUUGGGCGUAAAGCGAGUGCAGGCGGUUCAAUAAGUCUGAUGUGAAAGCCUUCGGCUCAACCGGAGAAUUGCAUCAGAAACUGUUGAACUUGAGUGCAGAAGAGGAGAGUGGAACUCCAUGUGUAGCGGUGGAAUGCGUAGAUAUAUGGAAGAACACCAGUGGCGAAGGCGGCUCUCUGGUCUGCAACUGACGCUGAGGCUCGAAAGCAUGGGUAGCGAACAGGAUUAGAUACCCUGGUAGUCCAUGCCGUAAACGAUGAGUGAUAAGUGUUGGGAGGUUUCCGCCUCUCAGUGCUGCAG
rnacentral:rRNA from 1 species